GACGAACGCUGGCGGCGUGCUUAACACAUGCAAGUCGAACGGAAAGGCCCUGCUUGCAGGGUACUCGAGUGGCGAACGGGUGAGUAACACGUGGGUGAUCUGCCCUGCACUUCGGGUUAAGCCUGGGAAACUGGGUCUAACACCGGACAGGAGACAUUUUUAGCGUGAUGGUUGGAAAGUUUUUUCGGUGUAUGAUGAGUUUGCGGGCUAUCAGCUUGUUGGUGGGGUGAUGGCCUACCGAGGCGGCGGAGGGUAGCCGGACUGAGGGGGUGGCCGGCGACAUUGAGACUGAGGGGAGGCACAGGCACCGACGGGAGGCAGCAGGGGGGAAUAUUGACCGAGGAGCGCCAGGCUGGUGAAGAGGCUCCGCGUGGCGGAUGACGGCGUUAGGAUUGAAGAAUCCAUUCGCAAGGAACGAUGCUUUUUGUGACGGUACCUAGAUAAGAAGCACCGGCUAACUACGUG
rnacentral:rRNA from 1 species